rnacentral:rRNA from 1 species
ACUCCUACGGGAGGCAGCAGUGGGGGAAUCUUGGACAAUGGGGGCAACCCUGAUCCAGCCAUGCCGCGUGAGUGAUGAAGGCCUUAGGGUCGUAAAGCUCUUUCGCCUGUGAAGAUAAUGACGGUAGCAGGUAAAGAAACCCCGGCUAACUCCGUGCCAGCAGCCGCGGUAAUACGGAGGGGGUUAGCGUUGUUCGGAAUUACUGGGGCGUAAAGCGCACGUAGGCGGAUCGGAAAGUUGGGGGUGAAAUCCCCGGGGCUCAACCCCGGAACUGCCUCCAAAACUAUCGGUCUAGAGUUCGAGAGAGGUGAGUGGAAUUCCGAGUGUAGAGGUGAAAUUCGUAGAUAUUCGGAGGAACACCAGUGGCGAAGGCGGCUCACUGGCUCGAUACUGACGCUGAGGUGCGAAAGUGUGGGGAGCAAACAGGAUUAGAUACCCUGGUAGGAUAGCG